rnacentral:rRNA from 1 species
GAUGAACGCUGGCGGCGUGCCUAAUACAUGCAAGUCGAGCGAACAGACGAGGAGCUUGCUCCUCUGACGUUAGCGGCGGACGGGUGAGUAACACGUGGAUAACCUACCUAUAAGACUGGGAUAACUUCGGGAAACCGGAGCUAAUACCGGAUAAUAUAUUGAACCGCAUGGUUCAAUAGUGAAAGACGGUUUUGCUGUCACUUAUAGAUGGAUCCGCGCCGCAUUAGCUAGUUGGUAAGGUAACGGCUUACCAAGGCAACGAUGCGUAGCCGACCUGAGAGGGUGAUCAGCCACACUGGAACUGAGACACGGUCCAGACUCCUACGGGAGGCAGCAGUAGGGAAUCUUCCGCAAUGGGCGAAAGCUUGACGGAGCAACGCCGCGUGAGUGAUGAAGGUCUUCGGAUCGUAAAACUCUGUUAUUAGGGAAGAACAAAUGAGUAAGUAACUAUGCACGUCUUGACGGUACCUAAUCAGAAAGCCACGGCUAACUACGUG